CCUCGCCUCGCGCUCAGCUCGCCUGGUUUCUGAUCCCCGCCAUGGAGGAGGCUGAGACGGACGCCACGGAAAACAAGCGCGCCUCUGAGGCCAAGCGAGCCUCGGCCAUGCUGCCACCGCCUCCGCCUCCCAUCUCUCCGCCCGCCCUCAUCCCGGCGCCAGCGGCCGGUGAGGAGGGCCCGGCGUCCCUGGCCCAGGCGGGCGCACCCGGCUGUUCUCGCUCUCGGCCCCCGGAGUUGGAGCCCGAGCGCAGCCUGGGCCGCUUGAGAGGCCGCUUCGAGGACUACGAUGAAGAGUUGGAAGAGGAUGAGGAGAUGGAGGAGGAGGAAGAGGAGGAGGAAGAGAUGAGCCACUUCUCUCUGCGUCUGGAGUCCGGACGGGCGGACUCCGAGGACGAGGAAGAGCGCCUGAUCAACCUGGUUGAGCUGACCCCCUACAUCUUGUGCUCCAUUUGCAAAGGUUACUUGAUAGAUGCCACCACUAUUACAGAAUGUCUCCACACCUUCUGUAAAAGCUGCAUUGUGAGACAUUUUUACUAUAGCAACAGAUGCCCCAAAUGCAACAUAGUCGUCCACCAGACUCAGCCUCUUUAUAAUAUAAGGUAAGAAUAUACGAAUUUAAAAUGAAUUCACAUUUAAAAUAAUUGUCACAUGUUCUUGCCUUCUCCCCCCUCACCGAGAUCUUGACUUCGUGUAGUUGAGAGUAAAUCCUUUGAAUUCUACCAAAACGAGACAGAAGGGAACUAAGAAGUGUGUGUAGAGUGCUUACUGCGGACCAGGC
rnacentral:lncRNA from 1 species